GCAGGGGAGAAAAGACGCCGGUCCGCCGGGGACCAGGAGGGAGACGUGAAACCAGAGGCCCGGGGGCCCCCUCUCCGCCUGUGCGACUUGUAGUCUCGUACCAGACGCGUCCGCUUCACUGCUGAAUCUGAAAACGUGGGCUCUUGAGAGCUGCCCUUGGAAGGAGCUGUGCUUUCUGCCUCAUCUUUAACUUUUCGUUUAUUCAGCAAAUAUGUAUCAAGUUCCGACUUCGUGGAAGAGAUUGUGUUAGACACUGGGAGUAAUAGAAACAUAAUUAAGAAGCAGGGGUCCCGGACCUGAAGGGCCUGAGCGUCGGGUAAGGAGGCAACGCUUACACCGAACCUGUGCUGAGAUAAAUAACGAACAGUUCUGGCUCUUAGAGUUGGCCUGGGGGAACAAAAAUUCAAAAAGAAUAAAACCCCAAACAAACAGGAGGCUCUCCUUUGUCCUUUGAACGCCUCUGUCCCUUUGACCCUCCUGGCCUUGCGUGUGCUGCUUUUCCCAGUAAAUACUGCAAGGACUCUAUUCAGACUUUGUUUAUUUAUAUAUGUAUUUUAGAUGGAGUCUCGCUCUGUUGCCCAGGCUGGAGUGUAGUGGCACAAUCUCGGCUCACUGCAACCUCCGCCUCCUGGGUUCAAGCGAUUCUCCUGCCUCAGGCUCUCAAAUAGCUGGGAUUACAGGCGUGCACCACUAUGCUGGCCUGAUUUUUUGUAUUUUUAGUAGAGACGGGGUUUCGCCAUGUUGGCCAGGCUGGUCUUGAACUCUUGGCCUCAAGUGAUCCGCCCCCCUUCAGCCUCCCAAAGUGCUGGGAUUCCAGGCGUGAGCCACCGGGCCCGGCCUCAAUUCAGACUUUAUCUGCUUCAAGAAACCUCUCUGGGAUCCUCCGUCACUUCACUUUUUCAGGCAGCGUUAGGGCCUUGUCCUAACGCUUUGGGACGGGGUCCUAAUACUGUCUGAAGGAGCGAAGUGUUGGAAUGCUCAAACAGUACACUUCGUUGAUUUUGUACUGCCUCCUGUACCCUAGACUUUGAACCCUUUGAGACAGAUUAAAUGUGAUUUUGGUCUUGUAUUCCUCGCUGCCGUGUGCUGCUGAUUAAAAGUUUUUAUUUUGUACAAAUAGAUGUCCUCAGUCCUUUGUUUUGAACUUCCCCUAUUCGCUUGUGUUACAAUGUGUAUCUCUCUUUGCUCCUUGCAUUCGCUCAGCAUGUUAUUGGUUGGAUGCCUGGUGUGUUCCAGGUAUUAUGCUUGGCUUUGAGGUUGGCACAGUAACCUAAGGUCAGAAUAGUCUGUGCUUUUAGAGAGCUCACAGUUAUGUGGCAGUGAUAGAAGCUAAUCAAAGAUGUGUAAAAUUGCCACUGAGGAAUUGGCUGAAGUAAUUAUGUAGGCCGAGAAGUCCCAGAAUCUGCAGUUCACAAGCUGGAGACCCAGGAGAGCCAAUAUGUCAUUUCAGUUCAAGUCCAAAGGCUGGAGAACCAGAAGAGCUGAUGGUUUAUUUCCUGUCUGAAAGCAAACAGGGUGGAGACCCAAGGAAAACAGAUGACUGAGUCCUACUGGGAAGGCUAGAAAAGAUGACGUCCCAAGUCAAUCAGUCUGGUGGGAGCAGUUUCCUCCUACUGAGACUUUUUUCCUAUUCAGGCCUUCGAUUGACUGGAUGAGGCCUGCCCACAUUAGGGAGGGCACUCUCCUUUAUGCAAAUUUUAGUCUCAUCCGUAAACACCCUCACAGACAUGCGGAAUUAUGUUUGGUGGAAUGCCUAAUGACACAUAAAAUUAACCAUUACAAUCAUUGUCUUUGUAUCAAUGUGAAGCUAUUGAUGUGUUAAAGCAAGUUAUUUAUUGUGUAGCUCUUUUUUUUUUUUUUUUUUGAGGUGGAGUUUCGCUCUUGUUGCCCAGGCUAGAGUGCAAUGACGUGAUCUCAGCUCACUGCAACCUCCGCCUCCCGGGUGUAUAGACCGGGUUUCUCCAUGUUGGUCAGGCUGAUCAGAAACUCCCGACCUCAGGUGAUCUGCCCGCCUCAGCCUCCCAAAGUGCUGGGAUCUAUUGUGUAACUCUUAAAGCUGUUAGCAAAUGCUUGGUAAAUGGUAUCAUAAUUGUUGAACAGAAGCAUAUUGAAUUAUCCCUCUUCAAUCUGUACUCAAUAUAUGGAAAUGAAAGUGCUCAAGGAAAUUUCCUCCUAAGAUACGGGCUCUUGAUUUUACUCUUCUGUCAACAGAUAUCUAAAAAACAUGCAUUAACACAAUUGUUCUCAAAUCUUUUUACUACUUGGAGGCAUGUUCUUUCUUAUAGGCUAUACUUUUUCCAAGGACACAUUAUCUCAUCAAAGAGGAGCUGGUGGCCUGGGAGGACAAGUGCCUUGGCCAGAAUUGCAUGAUUAGAUAGCAGAGGUGGAACUGAAUCUUUGUCUUCUUUCUUCAAUGUUCUUUCCAGAGUACCAGGAUCUCUUUCUCUCUUAAAAGUGAUUUUUUUUUUUUUUUUUUUUUCAAAUCAAAGCCACAAUGCAAUACCACCUUAUUCCUGCAAGAAUGGCCAUAAUCAAAAAAUCAAAAAAUAAUAGAUGUUGGCAUGGAUGUGGUGAAAAGGGAACACUUUUACAUUCUUGGUGGAAAUGUAAAUUAGUACAACCACUAUGGAAAACAGUGUGGAGAUUCCUUAAAGAACUAGAGGUAGCUCUACCACUUGAUCCAGCAAUCCCACUCCUGGGUAUCUACCCAGAGGAAAAGAAGUCAUUAUACAAAAAAGAUAUUUGUACAUGCAUGUUUAUAGCAGCACAAUUCACAAUUGCAAAAAUAUGGAACCAGCCCAAAUGUACAUCAAUCAAUGAGUGGAUAAAGAAAAUGUGUAUAUAUACCAUGGAAUAUGAGUGGAUUAUACUCAGCCAUAGAAAGGAACAUAAUAAUGGCAUUUGUAGCAACCUGGAUGGAAUUGGAGACCAUUAUUCUAAGUGAAGUAACUCAGCAAUAGAAAUCCAAACAUCAGAUGUUCUCACAAGUAGGAGCUAAGCUAUGAGGUCACAAAGGCAUAAUAAUGAUACAAU
rnacentral:lncRNA from 1 species